ACGCUCGACACCUACGGGAGGCAGCAGUGGGGAAUAUUGCACAAUGGGGGAAACCCUGAUGCAGCGACGCCGCGUGAGCGAAGAAGUAUUUCGGUAUGUAAAGCUCUAUCAGCAGGGAAGAAACUGACGGUACCUGACUAAGAAGCACCGGCUUAAAAUACGUGCUAGCAGCCGGCGGUAAUCUGAGCGGGCUGGCAGGC
rnacentral:rRNA from 1 species